ensembl:lncRNA LINC01894 long intergenic non-protein coding RNA 1894
AGAGCUGCAAGAGAAAGAAGACUGAAUUCAGUCUCUCUUGCAGAAAAAUUGUUUUCCGUCAAGUUGAUAAUAAUGAUCACACUGAGAAUGAAUGACUCAAGAUGAAUAUCCAAAGAUAUAUCAAAACCUGGUCAGCAGUCGUGGGGAAAGGAAGAAAGCCUGAGUUGAGUUUAUGAAAGUUUUCCACUAAAGUCAGCAACAGCUUAAAUUCAAACCAGGCACAAGACGCUUGAAUCUCCAUAUGAGUUGUUCAUCAAAGGGCUGAAAGAAAAGAAAUCUGAGCCCGAGCACGGUCUGGCCUAAAAGCUUUCAAGUGACUCCUUUCUGAGCUCAGGACAAUGGCCCCCAGGAGCCACUGGAUGUUCCAUUUUAGUCCUGGCUUGUACGGAGUGCGCCCUCUUUCUGAGAGGAGGUUUCCUGGGAAUUGGAUGCUGAGAUGAAAAGCAUAUGAGUAGCUUUCUUCCAGCAUUCUUCUUGGUGAUUAACCAACUAUCCAAGUACAAAGUUGCUCCUAAUUAACCCUGAGGACCCCAAUAUAAAGUUGCAAAUGAAAGAAGUCCUGCUACUCUAAAGAAUAACUAAACCAGACUGGAGUCACUGAAACUGAUGGAAGAACAUCUCAGGCAUGAGUGCCAUGGUGACGUCAUCAGCUCCGUUCACAACCACUCACCAUGAGGCCAUUGCUCCUGUGGAGGACACUGGCUUAGGACUCAUGAAGUAGUACCUCAGGAAGGUGUCUCUGUAAGUGUUCCUUCCACCAGCUCCAAGACACAAUGAGAUGGAGAGAACUGGAACAAUUCCCUAUGAUUGCAGCUGGAUAUUUUCACAUGAACUAUCUAGUAAUGAAGGCAAUGGCAUGUGGUGUGGCAAAGACUGGCCCCAGAUUACAUUUCCAGUCCUUUUGUACUGAGGAGGGGCUUUGGGACCAAGACAGUAGGAGUGAGGGUACAGGUUCCACAUUCUAUUUCUCUCUUAGUUUUCUGUGGUUAUCUUGGUGACUGCAUGGUAAAGAUGGAGGUGACAAAAGAUGGAAGGAGCCUGGAUCCCUGAAUGACUUCAUGGUGCAGAGCCUUACACUACCCCCAACUCAUACUAAAACAGGGGUGGGAGGAACAAUAGACCAUUAUUCUGUUAAGGUGCUGAAAUUGUAGAGCUGUUAAUUUGAACAGUUAGAGUUUCUUAUACUGAUACAGUAUCCUUACCCUGGAUUGUUGAAAUAAUUAGUCCAAAUAGUUUCUUUGCCUAAAACUGUGGACAGAGCCUAAGCAAUAUUGAAUCCAAGACAA